rnacentral:rRNA from 1 species
UACAGAGGGUGCUAGCGUUGUUCGGAAUUAUUGGGCGUAAAGGGCGCGUAGGCGGCAUGGCAAGUGGAUGGUGAAAUCCCUCGGCUUAACCGAGGAACUGCCGUCCAAAACUGCUUCGCUUGAGACCGGGAGAGGUGAGUGGAAUUCCCAGUGUAGCGGUGAAAAUGCGUAGAUAUUGGGAGGAACACCAGUGGCGAAGGCGGCUCACUGGACCGGUACUGACGCUGAUGCGCGAAAGCGUGGGGGAGCAAA